rnacentral:rRNA from 1 species
AACGAACGCUGGCGGCAUGCCUAACACAUGCAAGUCGAACGAGACCUUCGGGUCUAUGGGCGCACGGGUGCGUAACGCGUGGGAACCUGCCCUUAGGUUCGGAAUAACUCCCCGAAAGGGGUGCUAAUACCGGAUAAUGUCUUCGGACCAAAGAUUUAUCGCCUUUGGAUGGGCCCGCGUUGGAUUAGCUAGUUGGUAGGGUAAAAGCCUACCAAGGCGACGAUCCAUAGCUGGUCUGAGAGGAUGAUCAGCCACACUGGGACUGAGACCCGGCCCAGACUCCUACGGGAGGCAGCAGUGGGGACUAUUGGACACUGGGCGAAAGCCUGAUCCAGCCAUGCCGCGUGAGUGAUGAAGGCCUUAGGGUUGUAAAGCUCUUUUACCCGGGAUGAUAAUGACAGUACCGGGAGAAUAAGCACCGGCUAACUCCGUG